ACGCACUGAUCGUAAUCUAGUUCAUCUUCAGUAUGAACUCUGGUUCCAUUCCAGUGCAAUAGUGCGCUCCAUUGAGGCAGGGGAGCAGCUCCCCUUUGUGCUAGCUCCCUGUUCACUCUCUGGAAACAUUU